ACACACAAUCAGGCUCCUGCUGUGGCAGUGGACACGGAGACGCCUUUAGACUGGACUAGCUAUGAUGGAUGUGACCCAAAUAGAGCUACAGUCAGGUGACACACAAUCAGGCUCCUGCUGUGGCAGUGGACACGGAGACGCCUUUAGACUGGACUAGCUAUGAUGGAUGUGACCCAAAUAGAGCUACAGUCAGUGACACACAAUCAGGCUCCUGCUGUGGCAGUGGACACGGAGACGCCUUUAGACUGGACUACCUCUGAUGGAUGUGACCCAAAUAGAGCUACAGUCAGGUAAGGGAGUAUUGUAAACACUGUUGUCUCUAUAUAUGUUGACCUGUACACGAUGUAGCUCUAUCAAGAUAGGGAUGUGUUCUCAUUGCUUUUCUGAUGCAGCAUGUCAGUCAGCUAACUCAUGGAGUUAUUCGAUGAACUUCAGAUUGAGGGUUUCGUCUUAAUCUUAGACUCGUAUAUCUAGUCUUGCAGCCAGAGAGCCAGUUAACCUCACACACACACAUUUGUUUCUGGUCCAUCCUUAUGGGGUCCUGGGAUUUCUAUCUCACAUAAACUGAUUUCAUGGUUAACCUCACACAUGCACACACACUUUUCUUGUUUAUCCUUAUAGGGCCCUCUCGUCUCAUUCACACUUUGAGUGACUUCACAUCAUUUGUACAACACAUUUCAGCAUCUAACCUCAGGUUAUUACAUGCAUAUAUUGUUAUACUCUGAGCUGUUAUAUGUUUUAAAGUAUAUCUUGAAUAUGGACCAGUGCAGCUCCCUAUUUGUUCUUGUUGGACCUCUAGAGCAUGCCAUGCACUCUGCUUUAAGUUAUGUGCCGUUUAAGAAACUGUUUUCAAAUAAAGUCAUUUUGGUAACUUGUGAGUAUCUCAACAUGCAUCAUUACUAUAAGUUCUAAAUGCAGUCUUUUUUUCAAUCUGAAUCCCAGGUGGUCAACAAUCAGGCUCCUGCUGUCGCAGUGGACAACUCUUCAGAUAUGACUUCCCUUGGUGAAUGUCUCUCAAAUGCAGCUACAGACCAGAGAAACCCACUGCUGUAAAAAAAAACUGGAGACCACAGGAGUGUGCAGCUGUUGAGCGACAUUCAAGGAGAUUUAUUGUACUUAACAAAGUUCCUGGGAAAAUGGACUGUCAGCGCUGCAUUUCAGCCGAGCCUCAAGCCCUGAGUGACAGAGACUGGAGAGCA